rfam:Felis catus isolate Cinnamon breed Abyssinian chromosome B1, whole genome shotgun sequence.
ACCUGGGUGGCUCAGUCGGUUAAGCAUCUGACUUUGGCUCAGGUCAUGAUCUCAUGGUCUGUGGGUUCGAGCCCCACAUCGGGCU